rnacentral:rRNA from 1 species
AAUGAACGCUGGCGGCGUGCUUAACACAUGCAAGUCGAACGAGAAAUUUCCCGCUUGCGGGAGAGAGUAAAGUGGCGCACGGGUGAGUAACGCGUGGAUAAUCUACCUUCGAAUCCGGAACAACAUUGCGAAAGCGAUGCUAAUACCGGAUAAUAUUUUAGUUUCUUCGGGAAUUGAGAUCAAAGACGGCCUCUGCUUGCAAGCUGUUGUUUGAAGAUGAGUCCGCGUACCAUUAGCUAGUUGGUGAGGUAACGGCUCACCAAGGCCGCGAUGGUUAGCUGGUCUGAGAGGAUGAUCAGCCACACUGGAACUGACACACGGUCCAGACUCCUACGGGAGGCAGCAGUGAGGAAUUUUGCGCAAUGGGGGAAACCCUGACGCAGCAACGCCGCGUGAGUGAUGAAGGCCUUUGGGUCGUAAAGCUCUGUCAAGUGGGAAGAAAUGGUUGGAGGUUAAUACCCUUCGAUUUUGACGGUACCACUGAAGAAGCACCGCUAAC